rnacentral:rRNA from 1 species
UAAAGAUUCAUCGCUGAUAGAUAGGCAUGCGUUCCACUAGGCAGUUGGCGGGGUAACGGCCCACCAAACCGACGAUGGAUAGGGGUUCUGAGAGGAAGGUCCCCCACAUUGGUACUGAGACACGGACCAAACUCCUACGGGAGGCAGCAGUGAGGAAUAUUGGUCAAUGGGCGUAAGCCUGAACCAGCCAAGUCGCGUGAGGGAUGAAGGUUCUAUGGAUCGUAAACCUCUUUUAUAAGGGAAUAAAGUGCGGGACGUGUCCCGUUUUGUAUGUACCUUAUGAAUAAGGAUCGGCUAACUCCGUGCCAGCAGCCGCGGUAAUACGGAGGAUCCGAGCGUUAUCCGGAUUUAUUGGGUUUAAAGGGUGCGUAGGCGGCCUUUUAAGUCAGCGGUGAAAGUCUGUGGCUCAACCAUAGAAUUGCCGUUGAAACUGGGAGGCUUGAGUAUGUUUGAGGCAGGCGGAAUGCGUGGUGUAGCGGUGAAAUGCUUAGAUAUCACGCAGAGCCCCGAUUGCGAAGGCAGCCUGCCAAGCCAUGACUGACGCUGAUGCACGAAAGCGUGGGGAUCAAACAGGAUUAGAUACCCUGGUAGUCCACGCAGUAAACGAUGAUCACUAGCUGUUUGCGAUACACAGUAA